UCCCACCGAGCGUUGGCUAGGUUUUUUUCCUUUUAGCUUUCUGGUGCCCUGCAGAAUUCGGUGCCUGGAGGCUAAAAGGGGGAAAACCUAGCCGAUGUGUGGCGGGA